rnacentral:lncRNA from 1 species
GCCCCGUGUUGCCCAGGCCGGAGUGUAGUGAUGCGAUCUUACCUCACUGCAGCUUUGAGUUCCUGGGCGUGGCACAAGCAGUUCUUGAACUCCUGGCCUCAAGCGAUCCUCCUGCCUUGGCCUCCCAAGCUGCUGGGAUUACAGGCGUGAGCCACUGCACCCAGCUGGAAUGCACAUUCUAAGUUACAAGAUCAAAUAACAAGGGAAAGAAGACUUGAUUAUGUAUACACACACAAAAAGAAAGUGUUAUCAAAACUGACAAGAAAAAGAAUAUUUAGAAGAAGGAGCACAAGAAAGAGGACACCCUUAACAGAAAAGUUAUUCAUUUCCAAUUUAAGACUCAUCAAGGGAUAAAAUCUGAAAACUUAUAAAGGAUACUUAUUACAGAAAAAAUUUAAGGGGAAACUGGUGCUGUGGAGAGACCCAUGUGGAAAGGAACUGAGGACUCCCGGCAAAAGUCACCAAGGACCGAGGUUGCUGACAGCUGCAUGUGAACUCGGAAGCAGAUCAAUCCUUGCCCAAGCCCACACUUUGUCUACAGCCUUGGUGAGAGACCCUGAGCCAGGGAUGCACAUCCAAGCUGCACCCAAACUCUUGACCCACAGAAACUGUGAGAUGAUGAAUGUGUUUAAGCCCCCAUAUUGUGGAGUCAUUUAUUACACAGCAAUAGAUGGCUAAGAUGAGCACUAUUUUUAUCCCCUUGUGAGUUCAUGGCUUGGUCUCCCUACCUCCCACUGACUAAAUGUGGCUAAAGCAAAAUCCAAUAACCAGCUGUCUCUGAACAAUAUUAACUGAAUGCCUACUGUUUACUAGCAUGACAGGAAUUCAAAAGAGUUUAUGAGGGAAAUGGCCACAGUGAGGCAGAGGAUUUACAUGCUGGGAAGGCUUCAUCCUGGCAAAUUACCCAGGGCAGACCUUCCCUCCUUCACUGUCUAAAAUAUCCAACUCUUAUAGUUUCAAAUCCCCAUCUCUUAUUGUCUGUCUUAUAGAAACCACCCU